rnacentral:rRNA from 1 species
UACGAAGGGGGCUAGCGUUGCUCGGAAUUACUGGGCGUAAAGGGCGCGUAGGCGGACAGUUUAGUCAGAGGUGAAAGCCCAGGGCUCAACCUUGGAAUAGCCUUUGAUACUGGCUGUCUUGAGUUCGGGAGAGGUGAGUGGAAUGCCGAGUGUAGAGGUGAAAUUCGUAGAUAUUCGGCGGAACACCAGUGGCGAAGGCGACUCACUGGCCCGAUACUGACGCUGAGGCGCGAAAGCAUGGGGAGCAAACAGG